rnacentral:rRNA from 1 species
UUGAGUGGCGGACGGGUGAGUAACGCGUGGGUAACCUACCCUGUACAGGGGGAUAACAGUCAGAAAUGACUGCUAAUACCGCAUAAGACCACAGCACCGCAUGGAACAGUGUGAAAAACUCCGGUGGUGUGAGAUGGACCCGCGUCUGAUUAGCCAGUUGGCGGGGUAACGGCCCACCAAAGCGACGAUCAGUAGCCGGCCUGAGAGGGUGAACGGCCACAUUGGGACUGAGACACGGCCCAAACUCCUACGGGAGGCAGCAUG